rnacentral:rRNA from 1 species
GACCAAAGCAGGGGCUCUUCGGACCUUGCGCUAUCGGAGAACCCAUAUGGGAUUAGCUAGUAGGUGGGGUAAAGGCUCACCUAGGCGACGAUCUCUAGCUGGUCUGAGAGGAGAUCAGCCACACUGGGAUGAGACACGGCCCAGACUCCUACGGGAGGCAGCAGUGGGGAAUAUUGCACAAUGGGCGCAAGUCAGAUGCAGCCAUGCCGCGCGAUUGAAGAAGGCCUUAGGGUUGCAAAGUACUUUCAGCGGGGAGGAAGGUGAUAAGGU